UUGUGGAGAAGGACGCCGAAGGUGGGGCUGAUGACUGGGGUGAAGUCGUAACAAGGUAGCCGUACCGGAAGGUGCGGCUGGAUCACCUCCUAACAGGGAGACAAAUAAUUGAUUGUGUUGUCUAAGUAAAUUAUUCUUAGGCCACAAUCCUGUCACCUUAGGUCGAUCGGUACCUCAGAUUUUUGAAUUAAUUUUAUAAUUAAUCCUUUAAUUUCAGUUCCUAAACUUGUCUAGGUCACACCCAACAAGGGUUUCUCCUGGGCCAUUAGCUCAGGUGGUUAGAGCGCACCCCUGAUAAGGGUGAGGUCCCUGGUUCAAGUCCAGGAUGGCCCAUUCGUUGUUGGGGGUAUAGCUCAGUUGGUAGAGCGCCUGCUUUGCAAGCAGGAUGUCAGCGGUUCGAGUCCGCUUACCUCCACUGAAACUACCCUGAUAACUUAUAUUCAGGAGAAAAAUUUGUAUUUGUGACCUGAAAAUUGUCUAUUUGAAAAGAACCUAGCUUCUUAUCAUCUUCAUAGUUGAUAAUAUGCUGGGUUCACAUGGAAAUUCCAUGAGAAUUCAGUAGAACCUUGAAAACUGCAUAGAUUUAAAGAAUAAAGCAUCUCAUGGAUGCAUAAUUCUGUUUUGAUUUUUAGUUUAAAAACUAAAUUUUCAAUAAUAGAAUUCAUGUUUAAUUCCUGAGUAAAAGCCGAGCACAAUUGAUUUUGUGUUGUAUUAAGGUCAAGCUACAA
rnacentral:misc_RNA from 1 species